rnacentral:rRNA from 1 species
UGGGGAAUAUUGCACAAUGGGCGCAAGCCUGAUGCAGCAAUGCCGCGUGAGUGAAGACGGCCUUAGGGUUGUAAAACUCUUUCGCUAGGGAAGAUAAUGACGGUACCUAGUAAAGAAGUCCCGGCUAACUCCGUGCCAGCAGCCGCGGUAAUACGGAGGGGGUUAGCGUUGUUCGGAAUUACUGGGCGUAAAGCGCACGUAGGCGGACCAGAAAGUUGGGGGUGAAAUCCCGGGGGCUCAACCCCGGAACUGCCUCCAAAACUAUUGGUCUAGAGUUCGAGAGAGGUGAGUGGAAUUCCAAGUGUAGAGGUGAAAUUCGUAGAUAUUUGGAGGAAUCACCAGUGGCGUAAGGCGGCUCACUGGCUCGAUACUGACGCUGAGGUGCGAAAGUGUGGGGAGCAAACAGGAUUAGAUACCCUGGUAGUCCACACCGUAAAACGAUGAAUGCCAGUCGUCGGGUAGCAUG